rnacentral:rRNA from 1 species
AGUGGGGAAUUUUGCGCAAUGGGCGAAAGCCUGACGCAGCAACGCCGCGUGCGGGAUGAAGGCUCUCGGGUCGUAAACCGCUUUCAGCAGGGAUGAAUAUGACAGUACCUGCAGAAGAAGCCCCGGCUAAAUACGUGCCAGCAGCCGCGGUAAUACGUAUGGGGCAAGCGUUAUCCGGAUUCAUUGGGCGUAAAGCGCGCGUAGGCGGCUUGUUAAGCGAGGAGUGAAAUCUGGGGGCUCAACCCGCAGCUUGCUUCUCGAACUGGCAGGCUUGAGUAUGGUAGAGGAAAGUGGAAUUCCUGGUGUAGCGGUGAAAUGCGCAGAUAUCAGGAGGAACACCAGUGGCGAAGGCGGCUUUCUGGGCCACGACUGACGCUGAGGCGCGAAAGCUAGGGGAGCGAACAGGAUU